GAUGAACGCUGGCGGCGUGCCUAAUACAUGCAAGUCGAGCGAACGGACGAGAAGCUUGCUUCUCUGAUGUUAGCGGCGGACGGGUGAGUAACACGUGGAUAACCUACCUAUAAGACUGGGAUAACUUCGGGAAACCGGGGCUAAUACCGGAUGAUAUUUUGAACCGCAUGGUUCAAAAGUGAAAGACGGUCUUGCUGUCACUUAUAGAUGGAUCCGCGCUGCAUUAGCUAGUUGGUAAGGUAACGGCUUACCAAGGCAACGAUGCAUAGCCGACCUGAGAGGGUGAUCGGCCACACUGGAACUGAGACACGGUCCAGACUCCUACGGGAGGCGGCAGUAGGGAAUCUUCCGCAAUGGGCGAAAGCCUGACGGAGCAACGCCGCGUGAGUGAUGAAGGUCUUCGGAUCGUAAAACUCUGUUAUUAGGGAAGAACAUAUGUGUAAGUAACUGUGCACAUCUUGACGGUACCUAAUCAGAAAGCCACGGCUAACUACGUG
rnacentral:rRNA from 1 species